UACGUAGGGUGCGAGCGUUGCCCGGAUUUACUGGGCGUAAAGGGCGCGUAGGCGGCCUGCUAAGUCGGAUGUGAAAUCCCUCGGCUCAACCGAGGAACUGCAUCCGAUACUGGCGGGCUUGAAUCCGGGAGAGGGAUGUGGAAUUCCUGGUGUAGCGGUGAAAUGCUUAGAUAUCAGGAGGAACACCAGUGGCGAAGGCGGUGUUCUGGGCCAGUACUGACGCUGAGGCGCGAAAGCGUGGGGAGCGAACAGG
rnacentral:rRNA from 1 species